rnacentral:rRNA from 1 species
AUAGUGAACCAGUACCGUGAGGGAAAGGCGAAAAGAACCCCGGCGAGGGGAGUGAAAAAGAACCUGAAACCGUGUACGUACAAGCAGUGGGAGCACGCUUAGGCGUGUGACUGCGUACCUUUUGUAUAAUGGGUCAGCGACUUAUAUUCUGUAGCAAGGUUAACCGAAUAGGGGAGCCGAAGGGAAACCGAGUCUUAACUGGGCGUUAAGUUGCAGGGUAUAGACCCGAAACCCGGUGAUCUAGCCAUGGGCAGGUUGAAGGUUGGGUAACACUAACUGGAGGACCGAACCGACUAAUGUUGAAAAAUUAGCGGAUGACUUGUGGCUGGGGGUGAAAGGCCAAUCAAACCGGGAGAUAGCUGGUUCUCCCCGAAAGCUAUUUAGGUAGCGCCUCGUGAAUUCAUCUCCGGGGGUAGAGCACUGUUUCGGCAAGGGGGUCAUCCCGACUUACCAACCCGAUGCAAACUGCGAAUACCGGAGAAUGUUAUCACGGGAGACACACGGCGGGUGCUAACGUCCGUCGUGAAGAGGGAAACAACCCAGACCGCCAGCUAAGGUCCCAAAGUCAUGGUUAAGUGGGAAACGAUGUGGGAAGGCCCAGACAGCCAGGAUGUUGGCUUAGAAGCAGCCAUCAUUUAAAGAAAGCGUAAUAGCUCACUGGUCGAGUCGGCCUGCGCGGAAGAUGUAACGGGGCUAAACCAUGCACCGAAGCUGCGGCAGCGACACUAUGUGUUGUUGGGUAGGGGAGCGUUCUGUAAGCCUGUGAAGGUGUGCUGUGAGGCAUGCUGGAGGUAUCAGAAGUGCGAAUGCUGACAUAAGUAACGAUAAAGCGGGUGAAAAGCCCGCUCGCCGGAAGACCAAGGGUUCCUGUCCAACGUUAAUCGGGGCAGGGUGAGUCGACCCCUAAGGCGAGGCCGAAAGGCGUAGUCGAUGGGAAACAGGUUAAUAUUCCUGUACUUGGUGUUACUGCGAAGGGGGGACGGAGAAGGCUAUGUUGGCCGGGCGACGGUUGUCCCGGUUUAAGCGUGUAGGCUGGUUUUCCAGGCAAAUCCGGAAAAUCAAGGCUGAGGCGUGAUGACGAGGCACUACGGUGCUGAAGCAACAAAUGCCCUGCUUCCAGGAAAAGCCUCUAAGCAUCAGGUAACAUCAAAUCGUACCCCAAACCGACACAGGUGGUCAGGUAGAGAAUACCAAGGCGCUUGAGAGAACUCGGGUGAAGGAACUAGGCAAAAUGGUGCCGUAACUUCGGGAGAAGGCACGCUGAUAUGUAGGUGAAGUCCCUCGCGGAUGGAGCUGAAAUCAGUCGAAGAUACCAGCUGGCUGCAACUGUUUAUUAAAAACACAGCACUGUGCAAACACGAAAGUGGACGUAUACGGUGUGACGCCUGCCCGGUGCCGGAAGGUUAAUUGAUGGGGUUAGCCGCAAGGCGAAGCUCUUGAUCGAAGCCCCGGUAAACGGCGGCCGUAACUAUAACGGUCCUAAGGUAGCGAAAUUCCUUGUCGGGUAAGUUCCGACCUGCACGAAUGGCGUAAUGAUGGCCAGGCUGUCUCCACCCGAGACUCAGUGAAAUUGAACUCGCUGUGAAGAUGCAGUGUACCCGCGGCAAGACGGAAAGACCCCGUGAACCUUUACUAUAGCUUGACACUGAACAUUGAGCCUUGAUGUGUAGGAUAGGUGGGAGGCUUAGAAGUGUGGACGCCAGUCUGCAUGGAGCCGACCUUGAAAUACCACCCUUUAAUGUUUGAUGUUCUAACGUUGACCCGUAAUCCGGGUUGCGGACAGUGUCUGGUGGGUAGUUUGACUGGGGCGGUCUCCUCCUAAAGAGUAACGGAGGAGCACGAAGGUUGGCUAAUCCUGGUCGGACAUCAGGAGGUUAGUGCAAUGGCAUAAGCCAGCUUGACUGCGAGCGUGACGGCGCGAGCAGGUGCGAAAGCAGGUCAUAGUGAUCCGGUGGUUCUGAAUGGAAGGGCCAUCGCUCAACGGAUAAAAGGUACUCCGGGGAUAACAGGCUGAUACCGCCCAAGAGUUCAUAUCGACGGCGGUGUUUGGCACCUCGAUGUCGGCUCAUCACAUCCUGGGGCUGAAGUAGGUCCCAAGGGUAUGGCUGUUCGCCAUUUAAAGUGGUACGCGAGCUGGGUUUAGAACGUCGUGAGACAGUUCGGUCCCUAUCUGCCGUGGGCGCUGGAGAACUGAGGGGGGCUGCUCCUAGUACGAGAGGACCGGAGUGGACGCAUCACUGGUGUUCGGGUUGUCAUGCCAAUGGCACUGCCCGGUAGCUAAAUGCGGAAGAGAUAAGUGCUGAAAGCAUCUAAGCACGAAACUUGCCCCGAGAUGAGUUCUCCCUGACUCCUUGAGAGUCCUGAAGGAACGUUGAAGACGACGACGUUGAUAGGCCGGGUGUGUAAGCGCAGCGAUGCGUUGAGCUAACCGGUACUAAUGAACCGUGAGGCUUAACCUU